UUCCUGGCUCAGGACGAACGCUGGCGGCGUGCUUAACACAUGCAAGUCGAACGGUAAGGCCCUUCGGGGUACACGAGUGGCGAACGGGUGAGUAACACGUGGGUAAUCUGCCCUGCACUUCGGGAUAAGCCUGGGAAACUGGGUCUAAUACCGGAUAUUCAGCUUUUGCCGCAUGGUGGUGGUUGGAAAGUUUUUCGGUGCAGGAUGAGCCCGCGGCCUAUCAGCUUGUUGGUGGGGUAAUGGCCUACCAAGGCGACGACGGGUAGCCGGCCUGAGAGGGUGAUCGGCCACACUGGGACUGAGACACGGCCCAGACUCCUACGGGAGGCAGCAGUGGGGAAUAUUGCACAAUGGGCGAAAGCCUGAUGCAGCGACGCCGCGUGGGGGAUGACGGUCUUCGGAUUGUAAACCCCUUUCAGUAGGGACGAAGCGCAAGUGACGGUACCUGCAGAAGAAGCACCGGCCAACUACGUGCCAGCAGCCGCGGUAAUACGUAGGGUGCGAGCGUUGUCCGGAAUUACUGGGCGUAAAGAGCUCGUAGGCGGUUUGUCGCGUCGUCCGUGAAAACUCGGAGCUUAACUCCGAGCUUGCGGGCGAUACGGGCAGACUUGAGUACUACAGGGGAGACUGGAAUUCCUGGUGUAGCGGUGAAAUGCGCAGAUAUCAGGAGGAACACCGGUGGCGAAGGCGGGUCUCUGGGUAGUAACUGACGCUGAGGAGCGAAAGCAUGGGUAGCGAACAGGAUUAGAUACCCUGGUAGUCCAUGCCGUAAA
rnacentral:rRNA from 1 species